UUCCUCUCAUAUGUUACCUUUACCUUACAUAUGAGAGGAAGAGAUAGGUGUUGGGACUGUGUGGCAGAGCAGAGGGGAGGAAAGGACCCGCGGGAGCCUACGCCCAGACAGACUUGACAGUUUGGUUUCACUGUAGUGUUGUCUCCAGUGUUGAAAGAUUUGAAUUUGUUUCAGGAUAGCCGGCGUGUGGGAUGGGUGGAAGGUCCAACAUUGCCUCUCUCGUGUUCAAGCCGCCUGGCGCUCCCAUCUCAUCACUGGAUGGAGCUUGUUGCGGCAUACAUUUUCAAUCGCAGACUGUGCAGGGAAAGGAGAUAUCGGGACCCACUCGACCCACUACAUGUCAGUGAUGAACACUUGUUGCAGGUGUAUAGAUUUCCCCGUCAGGAAAUCAUCAGGCUCUGUGAUGAGUUUCGCCCCCACCUGGAAAGGAGAACCAGGAGGGCACAUGCACUCCCAACACACACCUAGGUUCUGGCUACACUAAGGAGACACUGCGUAUCCUCUGGAGCCAUUCCUGAUGACCCCAGUUGCACGGCCGACAACACCUGGGGAGGAGCGCUACAACAAGUCAUCACAGGACAAGAUGCGUUGUCGAACGGACCUUUGGGAUCCUCAAGUCAAGGUGCAGGUGCCUACAUAAGUCAGGAGGAAGUUUGCAGUAUGACCCCAAGAAGACUAUGAAGAUUGCGACUUCUUGUAUGCUCCUGCACAACUACUGAGUGGAUCGCUGCAGAAGAAGUAACAGUUCAGCCUGUGAGAAACAACAGACUGAUUCCUGGUCAAGUUGUCAGGCAGGAAUUUAUUAGAAACUUCUUUUCCUGAGUAUAGAUUGCAUAUGGUGCACCGGUGGCCGAGUGGUCAGCGUGUGUACGUGGUGAUCCAGAGGACUCGACUCCCACCGCAAGACGCUGAGAGUUUUCAACCAUUGACAAGUGGCGGAGGGUUACCAACAUGCUGCCCAGCAGAUCUUCAGUCAACCCUAACUUCAGCAUCUUUGAUCAAGAGGGGCACCACCUCCACACCACUCAUUCUUAUCACCUAGUUUGAUACCCUACUUGUCCAUCUCACAUGCCCCAUGUAUCUCAGCAUUCUGCACUCUUGGCUCCAUGUCAUCCUCUCCAACUUGUUGGUUCGUAUAGCAUAACCGGCCUCACAUACAUAGAAGUGUUCAAUAUACCUAGGCUAUAAUAUUAUAUUUAAGGACUCUUAUACGAGGUAUCGCCCCAUACAGAGAUGUCGAAGUAAGUCUGUCUGAUGGUAGGCUGGCUGACUGCUGUCGGGACCCAAGCCAGCAUGCCCUGGGGGUUGUGUGCGGGAGGAGGAAAGAGGGAAAAGGACAAAUGGUGUGUGUGUCAUUAUCAGGGGUAACCACGGUGGAGUGCAAACACUCAGUAGUUGUAGUCAAGGCUUAAUUAAGUUGAUGAGUGGUGUUAGACUGAAUGAGCAGGUUUUUUACCACAUGUUAGUGGGAACACUUGAUAGGUUUUGUUUGUGUGUUGGUGCUACUUGUUUCUUGUGUUUACAUGUUAGUUUAUAAUUAGACUGAGUUCUAAGUGUUAUGAGCGACAAUUUAGUCUUGUAUGGCUGAAUCCUGUCCCUUGACCCUUAAUUCAUCAUCAGAAUCUUUAAACAAAUAUAUUUACCUUAAGUAAUAUUCUUAAAGUCACGCUGCCCAUAUUAUUUGGCAGAUGAUAACCCUGUAUGUGAUAAUGGUGCCUUAUAAGACUUGGUAAAUAAACUACUAAUUUUACUCUCUGGUUUAAGUGAUCAACAAUUAAUUCUACUUUGAGGUAUAAUUAACCAACAUUAUUAAGGAGUGCCCAUGCCAGGCACGACAUUAAGAAUAUUUUUCUGUUGACCAGCAGACUUACUAUAGUCAAACCAUUUCAAAAUGUCUGUUGAGGCAGUGGCUUCUGCAGGUCCUUUCCUCCCUUCUGCUUUGCCACACAGUUCCAAUUACCUAUUUCCUCUGUUUCCUGUCCCCUCUUUCACAAACUGGGCACCUAUAAUGCACCCCUACUUGAUUUACAUUUCUCAGCCCUGAGCAUCUCUUUGUGGCACCACUUAACACUCCCUGUGCACAGGGCAUAGUUUGUAGCCAUUUCUCUUCCACACCAACUACCUUCCUGUAUAUAUGAUUUCUCAGUAAUUACUUAUUUGUUGUGCUGUAUUAGCUGUUACGUGCUACAUCAAGCUGUAAUAUCUACCCAAGCUGCGGGUUAAUCCAAUAAAAAAAAAAAGUGAAUGACUAA